UACGUAGGGUGCAAGCGUUGUCCGGAAUUAUUGGGCGUAAAGAGCUCGUAGGCGGUCUGUCGCGUCGGCUGUGAAAACUCGGGGCUCAACUCCGAGCUUGCAGUCGAUACGGGCAGGCUAGAGUUCGGCAGGGGAGACUGGAAUUCCUGGUGUAGCGGUGAAAUGCGCAGAUAUCAGGAGGAACACCGGUGGCGAAGGCGGGCCUCUGGGCCGAUACUGACGCUGAGGAGCGAAAGCGUGGGGAGCGAACAGG
rnacentral:rRNA from 1 species